UCCCGCAACGAGCGCAACCCUUGUUUGCUGUUGCCAUCACGUUAUGGUGGGCACUCUGCAAAGACUGCCGGUGAUAAACCGGAGGAAGGUGGGGAUGACGUCAAGUCAGCAUGGCCUUUAUGUCUGGGGCUACACACGUGCUACAAUGGCCGGUACAAACCGUCGCAAAACCGUAAGGUCGCGCUAAUCGGAGAAAGCCGGUCUCAGUUCGGAUUGUAGGCUGCAAAUCAAGAGACAUGAAGUUGGAAUCGCUAGUAAUCGCGGAUCAGCACGCCGCGGUGAAUACGUUCCCGGGCC
rnacentral:rRNA from 1 species